rnacentral:rRNA from 1 species
AACGCGAAGAACCUUACCAGGGCUUGACAUCCUGCGAAUCCCUUGGAAACGAGGGAGUGCCUUCGGGAGCGCAGUGACAGGUGGUGCAUGGCUGUCGUCAGCUCGUGUCGUGAGAUGUUGGGUUAAGUCCCGCAACGAGCGCAACCCACGUCUUUAGUUGCCAGCAUUUAGUUGGGCACUCUAGAGAGACCGCCGGUGAUAAACCGGAGGAAGGUGUGGAUGACGUCAAGUCAUCAUGCCCCUUACAUCCUGGGCUACACACGUACUACAAUGCUACGGACAAAGGGCAGCAAACUCGCGAGAGCUAGCAAAUCCCAUAAACCGUGGCUCAGUUCAGAUCGUAGGCUGCAACUCGCCUACGUGAAGGAGGAAUCGCUAGUAAUCGCAGGUCAGCAUACUGCGGUGAAUACGUUCCCGGGCCUUGUACACACCG